GAUGAACGCUGGCGGCGUGCCUAAUACAUGCAAGUCGAGCGAACAGACGAGGAGCUUGCUCCUCUAACGUUAGCGGCGGACGGGUGAGUAACACGUGGAUAACCUACCUAUAAGACUGGGAUAACUUCGGGAAACCGGAGCUAAUACCGGAUAAUAUAUUGAACCGCAUGGUUCAAUAGUGAAAGACGGUUUUGCUGUCACUUAUAGAUGGAUCCGCGCCGCAUUAGCUAGUUGGUAAGGUAACAGCUUACCAAGGCAACGAUGCGUAGCCGACCUGAGAGGAUGAUCGGCCACACUGGAACUGAGACACGGUCCAGACUCCUACGGGAGGCAGCAGUAGGGAAUCUUCCGCAAUGGGCGAAAGCCUGACAGAGCAACGCCGCGUGAGUGAUGAAGGUCUUCGGAUCGUAAAACUCUGUUAUUGGGGAAGAACAAAUGUGUAAGUAACUAUGCACGUCUUGACGGUACCUAAUCAGAAAGCCACGGCUAACUACGUG
rnacentral:rRNA from 1 species